UACGAGGGGGGGCAAGCGUUGUUCGGAAUUAUUGGGCGUAAAGGGUGCGUAGGCGGUCUGACAAGUCUGAUGUGAAAUCUAUGGGCUCAACCCAUAGUCUGCAUCGGAAACUGUCGGGCUUGAGUAUGGGAGAGGUGAGUGGAAUUUCCGGUGUAGCGGUGAAAUGCGUAGAUAUCGGAAGGAACACCUGUGGCGAAAGCGGCUCACUGGACCAUUACUGACGCUGAGGCACGAAAGC
rnacentral:rRNA from 1 species